rnacentral:rRNA from 1 species
AGGCAGCAGUGAGGAAUAUUGGUCAAUGGGCGUUAGCCUGAACCAGCCAAGUAGCGUGAAGGAUGACUGCCCUAUGGGUUGUAAACUUCUUUUAUAAGGGAAUAAAACGGGGAACGUGUUCCCCUUUGCAUGUACCUUACGAAUAAGGAUCGGCUAACUCCGUGCCAGCAGCCGCGGUAAUACGGAGGAUCCGAGCGUUAUCCGGAUUUAUUGGGUUUAAAGGGUGCGUAGGCGGAAUGAUCAGUCAGUUGUGAAAGUUUGAGGCUCAACCUUAAAAUUGCAUUUGAUACUGUCAUUCUUGAGUGUACAAGAGGUGGGCGGAAUUCGUGGUGUAGCGGUGAAAUGCUUAGAUAUCACGAAGAACUCCGAUUGCGAAGGCAGCUCACUGGGGUACAACUGACGCUGAGGCACGAAAGUGUGGGUAUCAAACAGGAUUAGAUACCCUGGUAGUCCACACAGUAAACGAUGAAUACUCGCUGUUUGCGAUAUACCGUCAGCGGCUAAGCGAAAGCGUUAAGUAUU